rnacentral:rRNA from 1 species
GAUGAACGCUGGCGGCGUGCCUAAUACAUGCAAGUCGAGCGAACAGACGAGGAGCUUGUUCCUCUGACGUUAGCGGCGGACGGGAGAGUAACACGUGGAUAACCUACCUAUAAGACGGGUAUAACUUCGGGAAACCGGAGCUAAUACCGGAUGAUAUAUUGAACCGCAUGGUUCAAUAGUGAAAGACGGUUUUGCUGUCACUUAUAGAGGGAUCCGAGCCGCAUGAGCUAGUUGGUAAGGUAACGGCUUACCAAGGGAACGAGGCGUAGACGAGGUGAGAGGGUGGUCGGCCGCCCUGGAGCUUGACCACGCUCCAUACUCCUACGGGACGCAGCAGUGGCCAACCUUCCGCAAUGGGCGGGAGCCUUGCGGAGCAGCCGGACGUGAGAGGUGAAAAUCUCCGGAUCGUAAAACUCUCUUAUGAGUGAAAAACAGAUUUGUAAGGAAAUAUGCACGUCUUGACGGUACCUAAUCAAAAAGCACCGGCUAACUACGUG